GUCUUAACCGGGCGUUAAGUUGCAGGGUAUAGACCCGAAACCCGGUGAUCUAGCCAUGGGCAGGUUGAAGGUUGGGUAACACUAACUGGAGGACCGAACCGACUAAUGUUGAAAAAUUAGCGGAUGACCUGUGGCUGGGGGUGAAAGGCCAAUCAAACCGGGAGAUAGCUGGUUCUCCCCGAAAGCUAUUUAGGUAGCGCCUCGUGAAUUCAUCUCCGGGGGUAGAGCACUGUUUCGGCUAGGGGGCCAUCCCGGCUUACCAACCCGAUGCAAACUGCGAAUACCGGAGAAUGUUAUCACGGGAGACACACGGCGGGUGCUAACGUCCGUCGUGAAGAGGGAAACAACCCAGACCGCCAGCUAAGGUCCCAAAGUCAUGGUUAAGUGGGAAACGAUGUGGGAAGGCCCAGACAGCCAGGAUGUUGGCUUAGAAGCAGCCAUCAUUUAAAGAAAGCGUAAUAGCUCACUGGUCGAGUCGGCCUGCGCGGAAGAUGUAACGGGGCUAAACCAUGCACCGAAGCUGCGGCAGCGAACGUAUCACCCAAGACAACUUUGCGGAGUUGACGAUUGACGGAGCGAAGCGACGUCAAAGCGUUCAUUAAAGUCGAGUUGGCUUAGGGAUACGUUCGUUGGGUAGGGGAGCGUUCUGUAAGCCAGUGAAGGUGUGUCGUGAGGCAUGCUGGAGGUAUCAGAAGUGCGAAUGCUGACAUAAGUAACGAUAAAGCGGGUGAAAAGCCCGCUCGCCGGAAGACCAAGGGUUCCUGUCCAACGUUAAUCGGGGCAGGGUGAGUCGACCCCUAAGGCGAGGCCGAAAGGCGUAGUCGAUGGGAAACGGGUUAAUAUUCCCGUACUUGGUGUUACUGCGAAGGGGGGACGGAGAAGGCUAUGUUGGCCGGGCGACGGUUGUCCCGGUUUAAGCGUGUAGGUGUGUGUUCCAGGUAAAUCCGGUU
rnacentral:rRNA from 1 species